ACUCCUACGGGAGGCAGCAGUGGGAAUAUUGCACAAUGGGCGCAAGCCUGAUGCAGCCAUGCCGCGUGUGUGAAAGAAGGCCUUCGGGUUGUAAAGCACUUUCAGUUGUGAGGAAGGUGGUGUCGUUAAUAGCGGCAUCAUUUGACGUUAGCAACAGAAGAAGCACCGGCUAACUCCGUGCCAGCAGCCGCGGUAAUACGGAGGGUGCGAGCGUUAAUCGGAAUUACUGGGCGUAAAGCGCAUGCAGGUGGUUUGUUAAGUCAGAUGUGAAAGCCCGGGGCUCAAGCCUCGGAACUGCAUUUGAAACUGGCAGACUAGAGUACUGUAGAGGGGUGAGAAGUUUCAGGUUGUAGCGGUGAAUGCGUAGAGAUCUGAAGGAAUACCGGUGGCGAAGGCGGCCCCUGCGCAGAUACUGACACUCAGAUGCGAAAGCGUGGGGAG
rnacentral:rRNA from 1 species